AUGAAGUAAAGACCACAGACUUUAGGAAAGCUUAAGUGAUAUUGAUGGAGAAUUUAGACUAAGAUAUAUCCUGGUUCAUGUGACAUUCAGGUCUCAGUCAGAUGUCAUCUCUCCACAAUAAUGGGGUUAUUCCUAACUAUCAUUCUAGAGAAUUCUCCCCUCAUUACUCUUUACUGCAGCAUGGUUUUCAAACUUCAGCAUGCACCAGAUUGCUGGGUCCCACCCCUAAGUAUCUGAUGCAAAAAGAGUUGCAUGAGGCCUGGGAAUUUGCUUUUCUACAUGUUCCCACAUGAUGCUCCUUCUGUGGAUUCAGGGUCCACUGCUCUAUUUCUUCACCCUGCUUUAUUUUUAUUACAGAAUUUAUCUUAAAUUGUUCUCAUAUUUACUUAUUUUACUAUUGUCUUUUUACCACAAGAAAUUGGUUGUGAGACCAAGAAUUUAGUAAGCUAUAGUCACUACUGUGUGUCUAGGAUGUGAAAUGUGCCUAACUUAUAAUAGGUAUUCAAUAAAUACUUAUUGAUUUAACAAAUAAAUACAGGACUGGGAAAUUCAGUAGGUGAGUAGUAACUAGAUGGUGGUAAUUGGGGUGGGGUUGGGCCACAGAAACACUUGUACCUGUGCCCAGAUAGGAGGUAUUACUGGUCAAAUUUGCUUCUAGACAAAUAAAAUGCAAAGUUGCAAAUCUUAUGGGCAGGGAGCACUAAUCGUGAAACAUGAUGUUAGGAAACCAACUGGAUAAUUCAAAUAAUGGGGAUUGAGGGGGUUCAUAAUUUCCUUCCAGGCUUAGGCACUUGACCAGCCAAACAAUUGUCUCUUGUGCAUGUUUGGAUUCUGGAGACUCAAGAUCUUUUCACAUG
rnacentral:lncRNA from 1 species